AUUGAACGCUGGCGGCAGGCCUAACACAUGCAAGUCGAGCGGAUGAAGGGAGCUUGCUCCUGGAUUCAGCGGCGGACGGGUGAGUAAUGCCUAGGAAUCUGCCUGGUAGUGGGGGAUAACGUCCGGAAACGGGCGCUAAUACCGCAUACGUCCUGAGGGAGAAAGUGGGGGAUCUUCGGACCUCACGCUAUCAGAUGAGCCUAGGUCGGAUUAGCUGGUUGGUGGGGUAAAGGCCUACCAAGGCGACGAUCCGUAACUGGUCUGAGAGGAUGAUCAGUCACACUGGAACUGAGACACGGUCCAGACUCCUACGGGAGGCAGCAGUGGGGAAUAUUGGACAAUGGGCGAAAGCCUGAUCCAGCCAUGCCGCGUGUGUGAAGAAGGUCUUCGGAUUGUAAAGCACUUUAGGUUGGGAGGAAGGGCAGUAAGUUAAUACCUUGCUGUUUUGACGUUACCAACAGAAUAAGCACCGGCUAACUUCGUG
rnacentral:rRNA from 1 species